rnacentral:lncRNA from 1 species
CGGAUGUGUCAGAGAGGACACUGCAGUUGUCCGUGCUAGUAGCCUUCGCUUCUGGAGUACUCCUGGGCUGGCAGGCGAACCGACUGCGGAGGCGCUACUUGGACUGGAGGAAAAGGAGGCUGCAGGACAAGCUGGCGGCGACGCAGAAGAAGCUGGACCUGGCCUGAGACUCUGCGCCUUCCGCCCCAUUCUGUCCCCCUCAUGGCCACCUUGCCAUGUCCGCGCCGGAGCCCCGGUCCGCCGGCGCCCAGAACCAGGCUUGCCACACAGUCCCCGCCUGCCAUGGCCGGCUCUUCCUGGAGUGUUGCUUGUUGAAGAUGCAUAUAGACUACCGGAAAGAAAUGACUUCUUCUUGCACUUUAUGAAUCAAUUUUAUUUUUAAAAUAAAAAAAUUAAACAUC